ensembl:lncRNA
GCAGAGACCACUCUUAGAGCCAAAUGUAAAUGUAAUGCUGGUGAGGUGAGGGUCCCCGUGGCCCCUUCACCAUUCAGUACUGCCCCCACCCCUUCUGCCAGUACUCAGCUUUUUCUUUCCUUUUUUCUUUUUUCUUUUUCGGUCUUUUUUUGCCUUUUUAGGUCUGCACCUGCAGCAUAUGGAGGUUCUCAGGCUAGGGGUCGAAUUGGAGCUGUAGCCGCUGGCCUACACCACAGACACAGCAACACCAGAUCCCAGCCUUGUCUGCAACCUACACCACAGCUCAUGGCAAUGCCGAUCCUUGACCUGCUGAGUGAGGCCAGGGAUCAAACCCGCAACCUCAUGAUUCCUAGUUGGAUUCGUUUCCGCUGCGCCAUGAUGGGAACUCCUGCCUGUACUCAGCUUUAAAGAAAAAGCCUUGGACCCUCCCAUGCCCCGCCAUGGCUGACACGCUGAUGUCCAACUUGGUCCAUGCAAACUUCCUCCAACAGUUCUUCCUUACAUUGCCUGGCACUGCUUGAGGAGGGGGAAGCCCAGCAACAACCCCAGCCCUCACUCUCUAAGAAGUUUGAGUUCUGAGAUUUAAGACUGUUCUCCGUGCCCUCACUGGGCUGCCUUGCGAAGAAACCCUCUUGGCGGGUAAACUUCAGCCUCUCCGUUCAGAGUGUGUCAACGAGACAACGUUCGCUAAGAAGACCCUGUAAUUCUCACCGGUAAGUGCUCACUUUACGCGUGCGGGGCUGUAGAUCGAGUCCUUUCUCCCAAGAUCCUUCGCAUUCGGCAGCGCUAUAAAAUCCCACUGGCGUGCGGGUAGCCGUGUCGAGAAACCGCUUGAUGUGGGCUGCUUCUGUGUCGUUUGGGUGUCUUAUUGCGGAGGCUCUCCGACUCUGCUGCAGACUAAGCCCGUGGACCGGGCUGCUUGUUAGAGAACAGAGUGCUCAUCAAUUGUUUUCAAAAGGCGAGAACCAGAAGGAGAGUGGACGCUUGCAGGAAGCCCUUCCAAGGGGGAAAGGAUGCCACAGGUCCUAAGAGAGCGCAGGCCAGCGGGACCGUCGGAGGGGAGGCAGUGCCGGGCAGAGGGAUGCAGAGCCUGGCUUUGGCGUCCGCCAAAUUGGGGUCCAGGUCCACGCUCUCAUGUCUGUGGUUGUAAAAGCUGGGAAAUCAUCCUCGCAAGCCUGUGUUCUUAUCUGUAAAAUGGAGAUACUGCCCCAUGCAGCAAAGACUGGUUGAAUAUUCCCCCAAAGCCAUUUUCUCUUCUUGCUAAGCACCCAGCCAGCUGAUACUUCCUAGCUUUCUUUGCAGAUAAAUAAGGCUCUUCCUGACCCCUAAGAAACCCUCAUACUUGUAUCCAUACUCUCUCCCCUCAAUUUCUGGCCAGAUGUGGAAGAACUGAUGAAAGACUCUGAGGUCUUAGAGAAAGAGGGGGGGCACUUAAUGGAAGGAGCCCAGGUCACUGAAUGAUUUCAUGGCCUCCUAAUUAAACCAUAUUGGACAAAACAAUUAAGAAUAAUAAAGACAUCUUUUUAUUAUAUUUAAGCCACUGAAAUUUUAGGAUUGUUACUUAUAGCAAUUAGCCUGUCCUGGCUAAUACAGACAUUAAUUCCUAAAAGUGAAGUACUGCAGUAGCAAAAGGCAAAAAUAAAAUACAUCGCAUUGGCUUAGCACCUGGUCAGAGGGAGAAGGAAAUUGAUUUCAGGAGCUGGAAUCAUGGUGGCCCAGGUUGAGCUUUAAUAAAAUAUUAGAUACAGGAGUUCCCAUCAUGGCACAGUGGAAACGAAUCCGACUAGGAACCGUGAGGUUGCAGGUUCGAUCCCCGGCCUCAAUCAGUGGAUUAAGGAUCCGGCAUUACUGUGAGCUGUGGUGUAGGUCAUAGAUGCGGCUCGGAUCCCUCAUUGCUGGGGCUCUGACGUAUGCUGGCAGCUACAGCUCUGAUUCGACCCCUAGCCUGGGAACCUACAUAUGCUGCCACUGCGGCCCUAAAAAGACUAAAUAAAUAAAAUAUUAGAUACAUAUGCAAUUAAAAACAGUCUACCUAAAAAUCUAGAACUAAUAGGUCAGUCCAAUAAGAUUAUAGGAUGAGGUCAAUGUCCAAAAAUCGAUUCUUUCAUCAUAUAUACAAUUCUUAAAGAUUCCAUUCCAUUUACAGUUAUUUCAUUAUAUUCCUGGAGUUGCACAACACAUACUUGCAGUCCGUCUCGCACGCAAGAGCUUAUACCUCCCACUCUUCCAUCCCUGUAUUGCCCUAUCCUUUCCCUCUCUCCACUGGCAACCACUACUCUUUUCUCUAUAUCUGUGAGUCGGCUUCUUUUCUGUUAUAUUCACUAGUUUGCUGUAUUUUUUAGAUUCCACAGAUAAAUGAUAUCGUAUGGUAUUUGUCUUUCUCUGUCUGACUUUUUUCACUUAGCAUAAUGCUCUACGAGUCCAUUUAUGUUACUGCAAAUGAAAAUUUUUCAUUCUUUUUUAUGGCUGAAUAGUACUCCAGUGUGUAUGUGUAUAUACACACCCCACAUCUCCUUAAUCCAUUCAUCUGAUGAUGGACACUUAGGUUGCUUUUGUAUCUUGGCAACUGUAAACAAUGCUGCUAUGAACACUGGAGUGCGUACAUCUUUUCAAAUUAGUGUUUUCCUUUUCUUUUGAGAAACCUUCAUUCUGUUUUCCACAGUGGCUACACCAAUCGCAUGCCCACCAAAAGUGUACAGUGUAAACGUGUUCCCUUUUUUCCACACCCUUGCCGACAUGUUAUGUGCAUUCUUUUUGAUGGUAACCAUUCUAAGCGGUAUGAGGUGACAGUAAUUGUGGUUCUGAUUUGCAUUUCCAUGAUGUUUAGCCAUGUGGAGCAGUUUUUCAUGCGCCUGUUGACUGUUUGCAUUUCCUCUUUGGAGAAAUGUCUCUUCAGUUCUUCCGCCCAUUUUUCAACCAGGUUGGGUGGUGGUGGUUGUUUUGAUGAGUGGUAUGAACUUUUUAUAUAUGUUGGAUGUUAGUCCCUUAUCAGUCAUAUCAUUUGCAAAUAUUUUCUCCAACUCAAUAGGUUGACUUUUCAUUUUGUUGAUGGUUUCCUUUGCUAGACAAAAGCUUUUAAGUUUAAUUUAGGUCCCAUUUGUUUCUUUUUGCUUUUUUUGCUUUUUAAAUGAUUUUUUUCCAUUAUCGUUUAUUUUUGUUUACUUUAGGAAUCAGCUGCAAAAAAAUACUACUGCGAUUUAUAUCAAAGAAUGUUGUGCCUAUAUUUUCCUGUAGGAGUUCUAUAAUUUCCUGGCUUAAAUUUAGGUCAUUCAUCCACUUUUAAUUUAUUUCUGUAGUUGAUGUUAAAGACUGUUCUAAUUUCAUUAUUUUACAGGUAGUUGUCCAAUUUUCCCAACACCACUUGUUGAAGAGACUCUCUUCUCUACAUUGUAUUAUUCUUACCUCCUUUUGUUGUGGAUUAUGACCAUAAAUAUGUGGGUUUAUUUCCGGGCUCCUAUCCUGAUCCAUUGAUCUAUCUGUCUGUUUUUGCACCAGUACCAUACUGUUUCGAUUACAGUAGCUUUAUAGUAUAGUCAGGGGCCUGAUCCCUCUAACUCUGUUCUGCUUAAAAUUGUUUUGGCUAUUUGGGAUUUUUGUGUUUCCAUAUAAAUUAAAACAAUUUUUGUUCCUGUUCUGUGAAAAAUACCUUUGGUAUUUUAACAGCAAUUGCUUUGAAUCUAUAGAUUGCCUUGGGUAGUGUGGUCAUUUUAACUAUUGAUUCUUCUUUGUACGAGCAACAAAUAGAAUAUGAAAUUUCUUAAAUUCAUCUAUAAUAGCAUGGAAAAUAAAAAAUAUUAAAUUUGGAGUUCCCGGAGUUCCUGUCGUGGCUCAGUGGUUAACGAAUCCGACUAGGAACCAUGAGGUUGUGGGUUCGAUCCCUGGCCUUGCUCAGUGGGUUAAGGAUCCAGCAUUGCUUGAGCUGUGGUGUAGAUUGCAGACAAGGCUCGUAUCCUGCAUUGCUGUGGCUCUGGCAUAGGUCGGUGGCUAUAGCUCCAAUUAGACCCCUAGCCUGGGAAUCUCCAUAUGCCCUGGAAGCAGCCCUAGAAAAGGCAAAAAGACAAAUAAAUAAAUAAAUAAAUAAAUAUUUGGAGUUCCCCUCAUGGCUCAGCAGAAACGAAUCUGACUAGGAACCAUGAGGUUCGAUUCCUGGCCUUGCUCAGUGGGUUAAUGACCUGGCGUUGCCAUGAGCUGUGGUGUAGGUCACAGACACAGCUCAGAUCUGGCAUUGCUGUGGUGUAGGCCAGCAGCUAUAGCUUCGAUUAGACCCCUAGCUUGGGAACCUCCAUAUGACUCAGGUGUGGCCC